AAUCAUAUUUCUUAUAUUUUUAAACUAAUUUCGUAAUUUUAUUUUAUAAAAUCAGAAAAUAAAAAUAAUUUUUUUUUCCAUUUUGCUAUUUGGGAUUUUCGAAUUUAUUUAAAAAUAUAUAUAUAUAUAUAUAUAUAUAUAUAUUUCCAUUUUUUUCUUUUUACCAUUUAUUUGUUAUUUUCUUUUUUUUUUUGGUAAAUUGACGGGAGAUAGUGCCCUCUCUAUGUUAUAUUAAAAUAAAUUAAAAAAAAAUUAUACAUAAAUGUCUCGCGACCGAGGCGGACCAACAACAUCCUCGUGCAAAAACAACGCCACAUCCGGCGGGAUAACAGUAAAGCAAUAAAAACCUAAAGGCAAAGAAAACGCAUAGUUUGCUAAC
rnacentral:lncRNA from 1 species